CCGAAUGGGGAAACCCAGUGUGUUUCGACACACUAUCAUUAACUGAAUCCAUAGGUUAAUGAGGCGAACCGGGGGAACUGAAACAUCUAAGUACCCCGAGGAAAAGAAAUCAACCGAGAUUCCCCCAGUAGCGGCGAGCGAACGGGGAGGAGCCCAGAGCCUGAAUCAGUGUGUGUGUUAGUGGAAGCGUCUGGAAAGGCGCGCGAUACAGGGUGACAGCCCCGUACACAAAAAUGCACAUACUGUGAGCUCGAUGAGUAGGGC
rnacentral:rRNA from 1 species